rnacentral:rRNA from 1 species
GAUGAACGCUGGCGGCGUGCCUAAUACAUGCAAGUCGAGCGAACAGAUAAGGAGCUUGCUCCUUUGAAGUUAGCGGCGGACGGGUGAGUAACACGUGGGUAACCUACCUAUAAGACUGGGAUAACUUCGGGAAACCGGAGCUAAUACCGGAUAACAUUUAGAACCGCAUGGUUCUAAAGUGAAAGAUGGUUUUGCUAUCACUUAUAGAUGGACCCGCGCCGUAUUAGCUAGUUGGUAAGGUAACGGCUUACCAAGGCGACGAUACGUAGCCGACCUGAGGGGGUGAUCGGCCACACUGGAACUGAGACACGGUCCAGACUCCUACGGGAGGCAGCAGUAGGGAAUCUUCCGCAAUGGGCGAAAGCCUGACGGAGCAACGCCGCGUGAGUGAUGAAGGGUUUCGGCUCGUAAAACUCUGUUAUUAGGGAAGAACAAAUGUGUAAGUAACUGUGCACAUCUUGACGGUACCUAAUCAGAAAGCCACGGCUAACUACGUG